CAAGAUACAGGCUAGCGGCGGACGGGUGAGUAACACGUGGGUAACCUGCCCAAGAGAUCGGGAUAACACCUGGAAACAGAUGCUAAUACCGGAUAACAACAGAUGAUGCCUAUCAACUGUUUAAAAGAUGGUUCUGCUAUCACUCUUGGAUGGGACCCUGCGGUGCAUUAGCUAGUUGGUAGGGGUAAACGGGCCUACCAAGGCGAUGAUGCAUAGCCCGAGUUGAGAGACUGAUCGGCCACAUUGGGACUGAGACACGGCCCAAAACUCCUACGGGAGGCAGCAGUAGGGAAUCUUCCACAAUGGACGCAAGUCUGAUGGAGCAACGCCGCGUGAGUGAAGAAGGGUUUCGGCUCGUAAAGCUCUGUUGUUGGUGAAGAAGGACAGGGGGUAGUAACUGACCUUUGUUUGACGGUAAUCAAUUAGAAAGUCACGGCUAACUACGUGCCAGCAGCCGCGGUAAAU
rnacentral:rRNA from 1 species